rnacentral:rRNA from 1 species
AUGACAACGCUGAAUAAAGAUUUUUCGGAUUCUUUCCUAACGAGGCCAUCGGUCCUAUUGUUGGGGAUGGAUUUGGAAACCAGUCUGUUCAAGCAAGGAUGGUGUGGCGGCGGCGGCAUCCUCGUGGUGGACCUGUGUCCUCAAGCUCCGCCGUUACGACGGCGUUUGCUCCAGCGUCGGCGCGAAGCUUGGGAGGUAGUCCAGGAGCAGAUGCAGAUUGUGGUCUACAUCGACGACAUCUGGAAGACGGAGCAUGUGCUGGGCUCGUGGUUCGUGGAUGGCAGAUAUGGUUUCCUCCUUCGGCGUUUUAGUCGUGGUGGGAUGCUAGAUCUGGAGUUGGAUGGCGUGUCCGGGGUGUUGCUCUGGUCUGAUUCGUUCAACGGUAAGGGCUUCACUUUUGGUGAGCCACCUUGGAGGUCCGCAAAGCUGCAUAUCAGCGAUGGAGCCGCGUCGAGCUCGGGUGAGAAGGUGAUUCGUCAUUCUUUUCUUCGGUGGCUACUGUGGUGGUGA